rnacentral:rRNA from 1 species
GACGAACGCUGGCGGCGUGCCUAACACAUGCAAGUCGAACGAAGUAAGUUGCUUCACCAAGUGUUGAAUAGCUACCCCCAAGCGCAUUUGCCAAAGGGUAAGCAAAAAGUACUAUCAAUUAAAUAAAAUGGUGAAACAAAAGAAUAGCGAAGAAGAAGCAAAUGCGCUUCACGCUAAUUCCAAGUACCAACACAAAACAAAUUCAAUGUUUGGUGAAGCAACUUGCUUAGUGGCGGACGGGUGAGUAACGCGUGAACAAUCUGCCCCGUACAAAGGGAUAGCCUCGGGAAACCGGGAUUAAAACCAUAUAACACUUAACUGCCGCAUGGUAGUGAAGUCAAAUCGAGUAAGAGGUAUGGGAUGAGUUCGCGUCUGAUUAGCUAGUUGGUGAGGUAAGGGCGUCACCAAGGCGACGAUCAGUAGCCGGCCUGAGAGGGUGAACGGCCACACUGGAACUGAGACACGGUCCAGACUCCUACGGGAGGCAGCAGUGGGGAAUAUUGCACAAUGGAGGGAAC